GUGGGGAAUAUUGGGCAAUGGGCGAAAGCCUGACCCAGCAACGCCGCGUGAAGGAAGAAGGUUUUCGGAUCGUAAACUUCUAUCCUUGGUGAAGAUAAUGACGGUAGCCAAGAAGGAAGCCCCGGCUAACUACGUGCCAGCAGCCGCGGUAAUACGUAGGGGGCAAGCGUUGUCCGGAAUGAUUGGGCGUAAAGGGCGCGUAGGCGGCCUGGUAAGUCUGGAGUGAAAGUCCUGCUUUUAAGGUGGGAAUUGCUUUGGAUACUGCUGGGCUUGAGUGCAGGAGAGGUAAGUGGAAUUCCCGGUGUAGCGGUGAAAUGCGUAGAGAUCGGGAGGAACACCAGUGGCGAAGGCGACUUACUGGACUGUAACUGACGCUGAGGCGCGAAAGUGUGGGGAGCAAACAGGAUUAGAUACCCGAGUAGUCC
rnacentral:rRNA from 1 species